rnacentral:pre_miRNA from 1 species
UCUACACUCCCCCAUUCGGAAAUACUUGUCAAAUAAAUGGAUGUAUUUAUACGUAUUUUAGUUCUAGGUACAUCCAAUUUUAUCUAUUUCUGCGACAAAUAAUUUCGGACGGAGGGAGUACUUG